rnacentral:lncRNA from 1 species
CAAAGAAUUAUUUUUGUUCAUGUCUCAGUGUGUUGGCUGGUGUUUGGCUGAUCUUGGCUGGGCUUAUCUGGACUUGGCUUCAGGACAGAUGUUGUUCUAGCUCUGCUCCACCCACUUCUUAUUUUUUGGGACUUGUGCAUGGCAUAGGGACAUCUGUUUUCCAUGGCAAUGGCUGAAGAACACGAAAGACACUGAUACAAGUAUCUUUGAAGCCUCUGUGUCUUAUCUGCUAUCAUUCUUCUGACCAAAGGAAAUAACAGCCUAUGCUGCAUCAGUGAGGUUCUUCAAACCCAAGAGAAAUUUCAAGCAGAAGACUAUGAAUGUUGCAGACCUUCUUUUCCCUUCUUUUGUCACAGCUGAUAGGGGCUGUGUAUUCUCAGUCCAUGAGAAGAGCUAAAGAGAAGCAAAUUUUCACUUCAAUGCUUGAGAAUACAUUUUACACAUUAUUUAUAACAUUGGUGGGAUUUAAACUAUUUUGAAUUUCUGUAUUUAUUUACUUUUUUUUCUCAUAAUGUUAGAUCCUUAUCAAAAGUUUUCUUGUUAAGUGAACUUUGGUAUAGAAUUAAUGUUUUCUAUCCAGACUUCCCUAGAAAAUAUAGCAGUUGUGUCACUAUGGAUUAAUGUUAUAUAACCAUGAUAUACCUACUCAUUUGUUGAUGACCAAUUUUAAAAAGAUUCUAUAAUGUGGAAUCCAUUAUGGAGAAUGGGUAUAAGAAUAUGUUUCUUACCUUUUUCACAAAUGAAUUGAGAACAUCCAUUUUGGUUGAAUGCAAUUAAUUAUUUUUACUAACAGUUAAAAUAUAUGGCAUAAAAAUAUAAUACUUAAAUAAAAGCAGGUGUAUAUUUCCA